AUGCAUCUAAAAUGUAAAAAAAAAAAAAGUAAAAGAAAAGAAAGAAAGAAAAGUGGCUUCUUGGCAUUUUCUUUCAGUGAGUUAAGCGUGUUAUUAUUAACUCCUGGCGCCUCUAAUUGCUCGCUGAAAACGGUGGUUUGGAUAUUAAUAGGCUGUAAAGCAAGGCCCUACCUGGGGCUCGUUGUCACGGAAACAGUACUCAAGUCCUCAACUACUUCCCCAGCCUGGAAAGUCUGCGCGAGUUGGUGGGAGUUGGGAAUUGUUUUAAAGCUCCGGUUAUUUCUCCCACUUUCUGCUCUGUCUCAGGGCCAAGUUGUUGGGAAAAGAGGAACUGGUGAGGCGGGGGAGAGGAGAGCGGACCGCAGCGGCUUGGAGGAGCAGAACUCUUCGGGAGGGGAAAAGGGGUGGCGUCCUCGGAGUACGGCUUGGGGCACCCUGAUCUUUUCCUCCUUGCAUCCGCCCCCGGCCACUGUCCGCGUCGUCGCCGGCGCCCGGCGGCCGCGCCCUCGGCUGCCCUGCCCUGUCCUCCCUGCCUGGGAGCUGGGCUGCCCGGGGAGCGCGCAGACAAGUUCCCCAGAAGAGAAUCUGAGCAGCCCCACGGCUGAGAAACCGGGAGGCGCGGAGGUCGGACAGGCUAGAAGCAAAACCCCCUCCGCCUCCACGCCGGGGUCCUGCAAGAGGCAGCCCCGAACCAGAACACGCACCCCCUCACCGCCCUGCCAGCGCCCCCGGGCGACGCUCCAGGAGCCGGCUCUCCAAAGCAAGCGCCCAGCUCGCCAAGCGCCUCCGAAGCCCACGCGGAUUCCCGCGCCCCGGGGUGUUCGCUGCCGCAGCCGCCAGGGCCUCCCGGUCCCCACGCCCGGCACUCGGGGCUGGGCCCCCACCCAGUCCCCUGGGCCCCGCGCGUCACGCGCCCCCUGGGCCCAGCGCCUCCUCUGCCCUCGCGCCGCGCGCCUCAGCCUCGCGCAUCCGCACCCGCACCCAGCCUCCUCAGGCUGCCGGACCCUCCCGGGACUCACCUGCGCUGGGGCUGUAAGGGCGGCCACCCCGAGCCCGGGGGCCGCAGUGGCGGCGGCGCAGGGGGAGGAGGGCAGCGCGGGGCUCCUGGCACAGCGGCCGCCGGGCGCCUGGUGCUGCCGAGCCGCAGACCCGCCCAGAGAUAUAAAUAACAUUAUCUGA
rnacentral:lncRNA from 1 species